GGAUGUGAAAUCGAUCUGGCUGAGACAUCUUUCACCUCAUGGAUCGCCAGGGUUGAUUCGGCUGAUUUGGCUGGCUAGGCGGGUGUCCCCUUCCUCCCUCACCGCUCCAUGUGCGUCUCUCCCAAAGCUGCACACUCAGUAGAAGAGUAUGACCUUCCCCAAAUAAAGAUGGACCUGUCUUCGGUCGAGGGUAUAAGAGUAUCUGUGCUCCCCUGCUAGAAUCUCCAAACAAGCUCUCAAGGAAUCUUGUUUUUAUACCAUUAAUGAAAGGAAAGUGAAUCUAGAAAAUACCAGAGGAAGCUAGGCACUGUUUCUCU
ensembl:misc_RNA 7SK 7SK RNA